rnacentral:tRNA from 1 species
GGGGGUGUAGCUCAGUGGUGGAGCGCCUACCUGGUAUGCAUGAGGCCCUGGGUUCUAUCCCCAGUACUACAC